rnacentral:rRNA from 1 species
GGGGAUAACUACUGGAAACGGUAGCUAAUACCGCAUAACGUCGCAAGACCAAAGAGGGGGACCUUCGGGCCUCUUGCCAUCAGAUGUGCCCAGAUGGGAUUAGCUAGUAGGUGGGGUAACGGCUCACCUAGGCGACGAUCCCUAGCUGGUCUGAGAGGAUGACCAGCCACACUGGAACUGAGACACGGUCCAGACUCCUACGGGAGGCAGCAGUGGGGAAUAUUGCACAAUGGGCGCAAGCCUGAUGCAGCCAUGCCGCGUGUAUGAAGAAGGCCUUCGGGUUGUAAAGUACUUUCAGCGGGGAGGAAGGUGUUGAGGUUAAUAACCUCAGCAAUUGACGUUACCCGCAGAAGAAGCACCGGCUAACUCCGUGCCAGCAGCCGCGGUAAUACGGAGGGUGCAAGCGUUAAUCGGAAUUACUGGGCGUAAAGCGCACGCAGGCGGUCUGUCAAGUCGGAUGUGAAAUCCCCGGGCUCAACCUGGGAACUGCAUUCGAAACUGGCAGGCUGGAGUCUUGUAGAGGGGGGUAGAAUUCCAGGUGUAGCGGUGAAAUGCGUAGAGAUCUGGAGGAAUACCGGUGGCGAAGGCGGCCCCCUGGACAAAGACUGACGCUCAGGUGCGAAAGCGUGGGGAGCAAACA